UACGUAGGGGGCGAGCGUUGUCCGGAUUUAUUGGGCGUAAAGAGCUCGUAGGCGGUUUGGUAAGUCGGGUGUGAAAUCUCCACGCUCAACGUGGAGGGGCCACUCGAUACUGCCAUGACUCGAGUCCGGUAGAGGAGUGUGGAAUUCCCGGUGUAGCGGUGAAAUGCGCAGAUAUCGGGAGGAACACCCGUAGCGAAGGCGGCACUCUGGGCCGGAACUGACGCUGAGGAGCGAAGCGUGGGGAGCAAACAGG
rnacentral:rRNA from 1 species